UACAGAGGUCUCAAGCGUUGUUCGGAAUCACUGGGCGUAAAGGGUGCGUAGGCCGCAUGGUAAGUCAGGUGUGAAAGCCCGGAGCUCAACUCCGGAACUGCACCCGAUACUGCCGUGCUUGAGGACUGGAGAGGAGUCUGGAAUUCACAGUGGAGUAGUGAAAUGCGUAGAUAUUGUGAGGAACACUAGUGGCGAAGGCGAGACUCUGGACAGUUCCUGACGCUGAGGCACGAAGGCCAGGGGAGCAAACGGG
rnacentral:rRNA from 1 species